rnacentral:rRNA from 1 species
UACAGGGGGGGCAAGCGUUGUUCGGAUUUACUGGGCGUAAAGGGCGCGUAGGCGGCUUAACAAGUCACUUGUGAAAUCUCCGGGCUUAACUCGGAACGGCCAAGUGAAACUGUUAUGCUAGAGUGCAGAAGGGGCAAUCGGAAUUCUUGGUGUAGCGGUGAAAUGCGUAGAUAUCAAGAGGAACACCUGAGGUGAAGACGGGUUGCUGGGCUGACACUGACGCUGAUGCGCGAAAGCCAGGGGAGCAAACGGG